rnacentral:rRNA from 1 species
UACGUAGGGGGCAAGCGUUGUCCGGAAUCAUUGGGCGUAAAGCGCGUGUAGGCGGUUACGUAAGUCUGCUGUGAAAGUCGGAGGCUCAACCUUCGAAAGCCGGUGGAUACUGCGUGACUAGAGUACGGAAGAGGAGAGUGGAAUUCCUGGUGUAGCGGUGAAAUGCGCAGAUAUCAGGAGGAACACCAACGGCGAAGGCAGCUCUCUGGGACGUUACUGACGCUGAGGAGCGAAAGCCAGGGGAGCAAACGGG